AGAUGGAUAGUGAACAAGCUAAACAGAAAAGCGAUUGUUCAUACAAUUAGGGACCAUAAUCCAGUUACUGUAGUUAAUCCUGGAACAGCAGCAGAUAAGAAAGUUGUUUUUAUUACUAAAUAAUAACAAGCAUGUCUAACGCAAUAUCGAAUAUUAUCUUCAAUAACACGUAUAAUGUCCAUAACCAUGGUGAUUGUCAUGCUGUACAGUUCGGAAAAUCAAACCUCAUCCGGGAAGCAAGGAGCCAUUCCGAAGAUGAAGAUGACGACCUCAGAUCUCAAAUUGAAGAUCUAAAAUAUGAAAUGAACCGGAGACUUGAAGAAAGAGAUGAAAUGAAAACUCAACUAAAGGACUUGACUUUGAAGUUGGAGAGACAAGAUAAAGAAAUGGCCGAAUUAAAAGACAGGGUUGCUCACGUUGAAAGAUGGAAGAGGGGAGUAGAACAUUUAGAAGUUAAGAAAACUAAUAGAAAUUAUAACAGAAAGGAAAGUAAUGAGAUUACUCUUCUGAUAACACGAUCCGAGAGCUGGCCACGUGACAAGGAUACUAUAACUGUGAGUAAGAAAGUUGGUGUUAAUGAUUUAACCAAGUUGAUACAAGAAAAGAAUGGUGUGGAGAUUAAUCAUAUUGUUAUAGCGGAAGAUAAUGGCGGGAUGCUCAUCUACAGCAGCCGUCUUAACAAGAAGAACGGUGAUCGUAGUCUCGAACAACUUGGUGUUGUAGAUCAGGACAAUGUUUUGUAUUGUUGUAAAACAAGGGUCGAGUCUACUACAAAACUGUAAAAAAAAAACCAAUGGGUGGGGUGUGUGUGGAUGUGGGGGUGGCGGCUAGUGGUCUAGAGUGUGUGCGCUUCGUGCUCGAACUGGUCGGUCACCUCUGACUUCCGGUCGUGGUUUGGAUCCCCGGUGUGAGCGUAUGUGACUUGGAAACAGCGGCGACUUCUCAAUCUCAUGGGUUUAUUCCCAGUGUUACGCUUUCCAACCACAGGACAGACCCCUGCACCUGCGCUAAUACAAUAACUUGUCUGCGAUAUUACCCUCGGUGGAAGCGGACGUUAAACACUAGAAGUCCUAUUAAUCACUGACAAGAGGGUUUAUUGGUCAAUAACGUCCAGAGUAGUACAUAAGGUGACCGACAAAUACAAAAUGCAUUUUCUACUUACCAUAUCUAAUUUUAAAAGAUUUCAUA